UACAGAGACUGCAAGCGUUAUUCGGAUUCACUGGGCGUAAAGGGUGCGCAGGCGGUUGGGUGUGUCCGAUGGGAAAUCCCGAGGCUUAACCUCGGAACUGCGUCUGAAACUACUCGACUAGAGUACUGGAGAGGGAAACGGAAUUCACGGUGUAGCAGUGAAAUGCGUAGAUAUUGGGAAGAACACCGGUGGCGAAGGCGGCGACCUGGUCCGAUACUGACGCUGAGGCGCGAAAGCGUGGGGAGCAAACAGG
rnacentral:rRNA from 1 species